GAUGAACGCUGGCGGCGUGCCUAAUACAUGCAAGUCGAGCGAACAGACGAGGAGCUUGCUCCUCUGACGUUAGCGGCGGACGGGUGAGUAACACGUGGAUAACCUACCUAUAAGACUGGGAUAACUUCGGGAAACCGGAGCUAAUACCGGAUAAUAUAUUGAACCGCAUGGUUCAAUAGUGAAAGACGGUUUUGCUGUCACUUAUAGAUGGAUCCGCGCCGCAUUAGCUAGUUGGUAAGGUAACGGCUUACCAAGGCAACGAUGCGUAGCCGACCUGAGAGGGUGAUCGGCCACACUGGAACUGAGACACGGUCCAGACUCCUACGGGAGGCAGCAGUAGGGAAUCUUCCGCAAUGGGCGAAAGCCUGACGGAGCAACGCCGCGUGAGUGAUGAAGGUCUUCGGAUCGUAAAACUCUGUUAUUAGGGAAGAACAAAUCUGUAAGUAACUAUGCACGUCUUGACGGUACCUAAUCAGAAAGCCACGGCUAACUACGUG
rnacentral:rRNA from 1 species